AUGACUAUGAACAAAGCUAGUGGAGGUGAUGGAAUUCCAGUGGAGCUGUUUCAAAUCCUGAAAGAUGAUGCUGUGAAAGUGCUGCAUUCAAUAUACCAGCAAAUUUGGAAAACUCAGCAGAGGCCACAGGACUGGAAAAGGUCAGUUUUCAUUCCAAUCCCAAAGAAAGGCAAUGUCAAACAAUGCUCAAACUACCACACAAUUGCACUCAUCUCACAUGCUAGUAAAGUAAUGCUCAAAAUUCUCCAAGCCAGGCUUCAGCAAUACAUGAAGCGUGAACUUCCAGAUGUUCAAGCUGGUUUUAGAAAAGGCAGAGGAACCAGAGAUCAAAUUGCUAAAAUCCACUGGAUCAUCGAAAAAGCAAGAGAGUUCCAGAAACACAUCUAUUUCUGCUUUAUUGACUAUGCCAAAGCUUUUGACUGUGUGGAUCACAAAAAACUGUGGAAAAUUCUUCAAGAGAUGGGAAUACCAGACCACCUGACCUGCCUCUUGAGAAACCUAAAUGCAGAUCAGGAAGAAACAGUUAGAACUGGACAUGGAACAACAGACUGGUUCCAAAUAGGAAAAGGAGUAUGUCAAGGCUGUAUAUUGACACCCUGCUUAUUUAACUUCUAUGCAGAGUACAUCAUGAGAAACUCUGGGCUGGAAGAAGCACAAGCUGGAAUCAAGAUUGCUGGGAGAAAUAUCAAUAACUUCAGAUAUGCAGAUGACACCACCCUUAUGGCAGAAAGUGAAGAGGAGCUAAAAAGCCUCUUGAUGAAAGUGAAAGUGGAGAGUGAAAAAGUUGGGUUAAAGCUCAACAUUCAGAAAACGAAGAUCAUGGCAUCUGGUCCCAUCACUUCCUGGGAAAUAGAUGGGGAAACAGUGGAAACAGUGUCAGACUUUAUUUUGGGGGGCUCCAGAAUCACUGCAGAUGGUGAUUGCAGCCAUGAAAUUAAAAGACGCUUACUCCUUGGAAGAAAAGUUAUGACCAACCUAGAUAGCAUAUUCAAAAGCAGAGACAUCACUUUACCAACAAAGGUCCAUCUAGUCAAGGCUAUGGUUUUUCCAGUGGUCAUGUAUGGAUGUAAGAGUUGGACUGUGAAGAAAGCUGAGCAUCAAAGAAUUGAUGUUUUUGAACUGUGGUGUUAG
rnacentral:lncRNA from 1 species